UGGGGAAUCUUAGACAAUGGGGGAAACCCUGAUCUAGCCAUGCCGCGUGAUCGAUGAAGGCCUUAGGGUUGUAAAGAUCUUUCAGAUGGGAAGAUAAUGACGGUACCAUCAGAAGAAGCCCCGGCUAACUCCGUGCCAGCAGCCGCGGUAAUACGGAGGGGGCUAGCGUUAUUCGGAAUUACUGGGCGUAAAGCGCACGUAGGCGGAUUAGAAAGUCAGAGGUGAAAUCCCAGGGCUCAACCUUGGAAC
rnacentral:rRNA from 1 species